rnacentral:tRNA from 1 species
GGAGAGAUGGCUCAGUGGAUAAGAGUACUGGCUUUACUUCCAGAGGUCCUGAGUUCAAUUCUCAGCGCCU